rnacentral:rRNA from 1 species
CGGCGGACGGGUGAGUAACGCGUGGGUAACCGUACCUCAUACAGGGGAGUAACAGUUGGAAACGGCUGCUAAUACCGCAUAAGCGCACAGUACCGCAUGGUACCGUGUGAAAAACUCCGGUGGUAUGAGAUGGACCCGCGUCUGAUUAGCUAGUUGGUGGGGUAACGGCCCACCAAGACGACGAUCAGUAGCCGACCUGAGAGGGUGACCGGCCACAUUGGGACUGAGACACGGCCCAG